CCGAAGCCACAAGGACGCUCAGAUGAGCUGAAGCACUGCAUAAAGACACUCGCGACAUCAGUGGACGACACAAUGGCCGACAGGGAAGGCAGAUCCGGUGACCGGAAGACCAGGGAAAGACGCAAUAGGAGCAAGAGCAUGGAUGGACGCCCCAAAAUGGACAGUAGUCCAGAUUUGGAUUGCCCUGACA